rnacentral:rRNA from 1 species
CUGCCAGCCGCCGCGGUAAUACGGAGGGUGCGAGCGUUAAUCGGAAUUACUGGGCGUAAAGGGUGCGUAGGCGGUUGAAUCAGUCGGAUGUGAAAGCCCCCGGGCUUAACCUGGGAAUUGCAUUCGAUACUGUUCGGCUAGAGUACGAUAGAGGGUGGUGGAACUCCAGGUGUAGCGGUGAAAUGCGUAGAUAUCUGGAAGAACACCAGUGGCGAAGGCGGCCACCUGGAUCGUAACUGACGCUGAGGCACGAAAGCGUGGGGAGCAAACAGGAUUAGAUACCCUGGUAGUCCACGCCCUAAACGAUGAGAACUAGCCGCUGGGAGGAUUAGCCUUUCAGUGGCGUAGCUAACGCGUUAAGUUCUCCGCCUGGGGAGUACGGCCGCAAGGUUGAAACUCAAAUGAAUUGGCGG